UCUAUAUUUUACCUCAAAUCAUGGAUAAAUUUAGAACCCUUUUGCACACAUGUACAUUUAUUGGACUGCGUAUCGAUAAGAGAUAGCAUAUUUUGCAUCCAACAUUGUUAGAUGUGUCAUCAUUUUGGGUUAUCUUCUUAAAUGCUUGAUAAGCUCAGGAGUAUAAAUAUAAAUAAUUAUUAAACUGACUGAAUUUUUUUAGUAUGGUGAUAGGGUUGUACUUUGUCUAGAGACAGACAAAUAAACUUAAUUUAGGACCAACAUUUCCUUUAAAAAGUCUGUUUUUUCAUUUUGUAAUUAAGCACUAAAACCACUUGCAAAAAUAUGUGAGAUUCUAACUCUGUACAUAUUAUUUUGAAGCCAAAUGAAUAAAUAUUAAUAUCAUUUUACUUCAUUUUCUAAUUUUCAAAUAUGCAUUAUAUUUUCAGAGGGUAAAGUGCAAGAGUUUGAGGUUAUUCCACUUAAGUCCGAAGACUUGGUAGAUACCAACGGGGCAGGCGACGCAUUUGUUGGAGGAUUCCUCUCCCAGUUAAUUCAGGACAAGCCCCUGGCUGAUUGUGUUCGUUGUGGAAACUACGCGGCAAACCUUGUUAUCCAGCGGUCAGGUUGCACUGUCCCGGACAAACCAGAGUUCAAGUAACCAUCGGAUGUUGUAGCCACUGGACAUGUCUUUAAGUUGUGCAUAUCAGUGUUAAACCAUGCAAGGGUAAUAGAAGGGCAUUCUUAUAGAUGAUGCUUUAACUUGGGACAUAAAUAUGAAGAUACUGUUUAUCUUCACAACAGCCUGGGCCUGCAUAUAUAUCAGGGUUGUAUAUAUAUCAUUUGACCUGCUACAAAACCAAAUCUAAUGUAGUAAGCCAUGACUUAGUGUCUGGUAGCAGAAUGUGCAAGUUUUUCCAUUCAUGUCAUUGAAUAAUGUAUUUCAUUUCAUUGCUAUGCCUAUUAAUGAAAUAUCUAUUUUUUUCUUUAAUGCAUUUAAAGAAUAGAAAUAACAAGCAAGAAAAGCAAUCAGUUUAUUUAUAUAAAGAAAUCAGAAAUUAUCAUGUAUUUUUUUAUAAAUGCAUUUACCCUUUUAUACACUUUUUAGAGAAACAGAAAAGCAAUCAUUUUAAUAAUAUAAAGAAAUUAGAAAACAUAUAUUUUUGUGAAUCGAUUAACCUUUUCAGAUAAUUUUUAAAGAAACUAAUUAAGGAUGUGUUUUUUAAAGAUAGUCAUUAAUGGAAUAGGUGUAUUUACAUUCACUUUUCUUAGAUUAGAAUUAAAUGAAAGUAAAUUACUGAUUAAAAUUGAGAAUUGAGAAUACUGUCUCAGUAAAUGCAAUAACUAGAGAAAAAGAAAUGUCAGACUUUCCAGACUUUGAAUAAUUUGUUUGUAAGAUUUUCUAGACUUUGAAUAAUUUUGUAAGUUAGAUUUUGCAGAUAAAACAAUUCUGUAAGGCAGGCUUUCAAUAAGUUUGAACCUUUUUGUAAGUGGGGGAGUGUUUGAACAGUUUUGUUAGGCAGACUUUUCAGAUUGUGAAACGUUUUGUAUGUCAGGCUUUCUAAAUUAUGAAAAGUUUUGUUUAUCACACUUUCACCAAAUUUAAACUGUUUUGUAAGUCAGACUUUACAGAUUAUGAAACAUUUUGUUUGUUCGACUUUCUCCAGGUUUUAAACUGUUUUGUUAUGUGACGUUCAAGAUCAUGAAAAUUUUUGUAAGUCAGACUUUCCAAAUUAUGAAAAGUUUUGUAAGUCAGACUUUCCAGAUUAUGAAAAGUUUUGUAAGUCAGACUUUCCAGAUUAUGAAAAGUUUUGUAAGUCAGACUUUCCAGAUUAUGAAAAGUUUUGUAAGUCAGACAUUCCAGAUUAUGAAAAGUUUUGUAAGUCAGACUUUCCAGAUUUUGACUGUUCUAUGAAUUUUGUAUUGUCUUUUCCUGGUGUCAAAUUGAUAAUUAUUUAGAAAUGAGACAAACCCAUUUUGACUGUAAAAUAGGCAGGCAGAAUUAAAUUGUACAAUUAUCUUCAUGUACCAACUACCAGUAAUCGGCUACAUGUAGUUUGAUGGAAACUAUCAUUACAUGUACUUAUUUGGUCUAUGCAAUAAACGGAAAAAAAUCAUA